rnacentral:misc_RNA from 1 species
GCGAGUUCUAAACUCCAACCCUCGUGGACAUACCUAUCGUUGCUUCGGCGGGGGCCCCCUCGCAGGGGGGCAGCAGGGCCCGCCCCUGCGCCCGCCGGUGGCACGCCAACCAAAACCUGAAUCACAGUCGCAUUCUGAGUGGACUACAAAAUAAGUCA